GCCCUGGUGGCCUAGUGGUAAAAGCGUUCGGCUCGGAUGCGGGAGGUCGCGUGUUCGAACCCAGGCCGAGUCA